rnacentral:lncRNA from 1 species
UUAUCUGGCCAAUUAGAUGAUUGGGUUCAUUAAUUACUAAGAAGUUUUAGUUUAACCCAUACUAAUUAGAUCGAUCAUGUGAUGAUUGGUUAGAUGGGACCUUACCUAAACCUCCUUAGUUAAUAUUAAGCCUUAUGAUCUUCCACCAUUGUAAAAGUAUGGGUGUGGUACUGAUGUUGAUUGUUCUCGACUGGUUACAGUGGUUCAGUUGCAUCGAAAAUA